UUCAUUUUUCAUCACCCAUACAGUUAGUCUAUUAUUGUCCAGCCAACUAAAAGUGUCUUCUAGAAUAAGGUGAAAGAACAGAGAGGGCAAGGAAGAACUGAGAGCAUAUGGAGGAAGGAGAUUUAAAUUCACUUCCCCUAUUUCACCGGACAGUCAAUUGUGUAAAACAUAGGUCCCAGCAGUGAUGCAAUAGAAGGAGCAUAGGAAGACAGAAGUCAGCAAAUGACCAUCCAGUGCAGCAAGCAGCGUGCUCAGUAUCAACAGGGGUUGUCUUCCAGGGAUUGCAUCAGGAGGCCACCUGACCUCUGACUUCCUGUUGGCUUCAGCUAAGAAGGAAGGAGGAACACUGAGAGGGGACAGGAGGAGGCAGGAGCAUGCUGUCAGGGUAUUGUGUUUUUCCAGUGCCUUCUCUGUGGGCUGCUGAGGGCCUGAAGCCCCUCCUCACAGCUCUCUCCCUCUCCAAAUCCUUAUGUGACCAGCCCCACCCCCUCACUCCCCCAGGCUCCCCGAGGUUGCCAGCCCCAAAGUAUUCACUGCUUUUUUGGCUCCCCCACACCUGUCCUUGCCUGUGUAAAUGUUCCCUUCAUUAAAUUCUCCUGAAAUGUC
rnacentral:lncRNA from 1 species